rnacentral:rRNA from 1 species
GAUGAACGCUGGCGGCGUGCCUAAUACAUGCAAGUCGAGCGAACGGACGAGAAGCUUGCUUCUCUGAUGUUAGCGGCGGACGGGUGAGUAACACGUGGAUAACCUACCUAUAAGACUGGGAUAACUUCGGGAAACCGGAGCUAAUACCGGAUGAUAUUUUGAACCGCAUGGUUCAAAAGUGAAAGACGGUCUUGCUGUCACUUAUAGAUGAAUCCGCGCUGCAUUAGCUAGUUGGUAAGGUAACGGCUUACCAAGGCAACGAUGCAUAGCCGACCUGAGAGGGUGAUCGGCCACACUGGAACUGAGACACGGUCCAGACUCCUACGGGAGGCAGCAGUAGGGAAUCUUCCGCAAUGGGCGAAAGCCUGACGGAGCAACGCCGCGUGAGUGAUGAAGGUCUUCGGAUCGUAAAACUCUGUUAUUAGGGAAGAACAUAUGUGUAAGUAACUGUGCACAUCUUGACGGUACCUAAUCAGAAAGCCACGGCUAACUACGUG